rnacentral:siRNA from 1 species
CUUGGGAAAUCUGUACUCUACCUC